GCGGGAUUGGUUCAAUGGCAGAACACGUCCUUCCCAAGGAUGAGACAUGGGUCCGAUUCCCAUAUCCCGCA
rnacentral:tRNA from 1 species